UACGUAGGGUGCAAGCGUUGUCCGGAAUUAUUGGGCGUAAAGAGCUCGUAGGCGGUUUGUUGCGUCGGCUGUGAAAUCCCGAGGCUCAACCUCGGGUCUGCAGUCGAUACGAGCAAACUAGAGUGUUGCAGGGAGACUGGAAUUCCUGGUGUAGCGGUGAAAUGCGCAGAUAUCAGGAGGAACACCAAUUGCGAAGGCAGCUCGCUGGGACGUUACUGGACGCUGGAGACGCGAAAGCGUGGGGAGCAAACAGG
rnacentral:rRNA from 1 species